GUGCUCACUUUGGCAGCACAUGUACUAGAAUUGGAAUAAUACAGAGAAGAUUAGGAUGGCCCCUGUGCAAGGGUGACAUGCAAAUUCAUAAAGCAUUCCAUAUUAAA